rnacentral:rRNA from 1 species
UACGGAGGGUGCAAGCGUUAUCCGGAUUUAUUGGGCUUAAAGGGUGAGUAGGCGGAUUAUUAAGUCUGCGGUGAAAUCUCCGAGCUCAACUCGGAAACUGCCAUUGAUACUAUUAGUCUUGAAUAUUGUUGAGGUAGGCGGAACGGGUCAUGUAGCGGUGAAAUGCAUAGAUAUGACCCGGAACACCGAUUGCGAAGGCAGCCCACUAAGCAAUGAUUGACGCUGAGGCACGAAAGCGUGGGGAUCAAACAGG